GGCUAACUCAGGCCACUUAUUCAAGCUAAAUCAAUUUAAAUAGAGAAACUAGGCUCGGACUAGAAAUUAGGGCCCAUGAUCGGGCUGAAAUUCAGGCUCGAACCUGCGCUAGACCAAAGAUAUGCUUGAGCACAGCCCGAAAGACAAAUGGACCCUAUAUUCAGGCCCAAACCUGGCCUUAACUAUUUUGGAUUGAGCCCAA
rnacentral:lncRNA from 1 species